rnacentral:ribozyme from 1 species
UGCCCAGCAACUCCCAUCCCUACCUCCUCGCGGUACUGGCCGGGGUACGAGUAACCUUGAGGAAGAUCGAACUUUGGUCGUAUGCUGACAGGGAAGG